GGGGCUGGACAAGGUUCACGUCGAGUUUGGGAUUGUGGCAUUGGCCCACAAUCUAUUGAAAGUGGCAGGCAUCCGCCUCGCUACUUUCCUGCAAAAGCAGCCGCACAAAAAAGUUGGACGGAAAACAUUACGUUUUUCCGCCCAACUUUUUAUUUUGGGGACUUAUUGGACAGCCCCUUUUCGUUAACAACGCGGAAAGCCAUUAACUGGCAACAAACAACUUUCUCUCGCUGCCUAAUAACCAGCGAGGCGCUACCACUCCAUCGCCCGUGUGGCGUGACUAGCGCUCACUUCUAGCGGGAUACGCCGGAGGUCUCCGCCUGGGGCCAAAGGAAGAAGAUCAAUCAGGCUAGGUAACGGGUCAGCGCGUCACUCCGCGAAUCCGGUACCGAACUCCAAAUGAGUGACUGCGCUCGGAGAUGCUUAUGUAUCGCCGUUUUCGGACGGGGGUUCGAAUCCCCCCGCCUCCACCU
rnacentral:tmRNA from 2 species